rnacentral:rRNA from 1 species
UGGCGGACGGGUGAGUAACGCGUGGGCAACCUGCCUUACACAGGGGGACAACAGCCGGAAACGGCUGCUAAUACCGCAUAAGCGCACAGUUUUGCAUGGAACAGUGUGAAAAACUCCGGUGGUGUAAGAUGGGCCCGCGUCUGAUUAGCUUGUUGGCGGGGUAACGGCCCACCAAGGCGACGAUCAGUAGCCGACCUGAGAGGGUGACCGGCCACAUUGGGACUGAGACACGGCCCAAACUCCUACGGAAGGCAGCAG